rnacentral:pre_miRNA from 1 species
AGAAUAAUUGCUGGAUUGCAUGGUAAGGUCAUGUUUAAUUUUGUAAGAAGUUGCCAAAUUAUCUUCCAAAGUGUCUAUAACAUUUUGCUCCCACCAGUAAU